rnacentral:misc_RNA from 1 species
CAGUUGGUUAGAGCGCGCGCUUGAUAAGCGUGAGGUCGGAAGUUCAAGUCUUCCCAGGCCCACCACUUUCAUCGAGUGAGCAUUCGUCUUCUGGUUACGGGGCCAUAGCUCAGCUGGGAGAGCGCGUGCUUUGCAAGCAUGAGGUCGUCGGUUCGAUCCCGUCUGGCUCCACCAGAUGGUUUGAUCACCGAGAUAUUGCACCGUCGUCCGCGAAACAUCACUUCGCAUCCUGCUAGUCUGGAUAGACAGCAAGAUGCGUGUUUUCUGACAUCGUAAAGAGGAGAUCGAUCCGAGUUGGGUCGUGCAGCAGAUUGUUGCGCGAACCUUCAUUAUCUCCGGAUCAUUUUCGGCGCUCGCUUUCAGCCGUGAGGUUGAAUGCGAGUUGUAAAAUGAUCCUUUUAGCGAAGCUUGACCGCCUCGCUAUCGGAACGAUCUUACGAAGCAAGCUGGUCUUUCUAGUCAAUGUCCGGCCGCACGUAGCAUUCAUCGAGGGUGCGCGCCGUAAGGCAAUCGUGCAGACAACAUUCUGCCGAGUGUGUGGACAUUGAUAAUGAGAGCAAUCAAGUGCCUUAAGGGUGUUCGGUGGAUGCCUUGGCGCUGAGAGGCGAUGAAGGACGUGCUACGCUGCGAUAAGCCGUGGGGAGCUGCGAAGAAGCUUUGAUCCGCGGAUUUCCGAAUGG